GUAGUGAUAGAGUGGCUUUGGUGAGCACCUGGAGUCCAGCCAGGGUCAACCCUUCACAGCUGUAUAGCAAGGAAUUAGUUUAAUUCUGCCACAGGAUUAAACCAGCCCUGGACACGGUGUGUGUAGGAACACUGUGAUUUUUGGGUGAAGAAGUGGACUAUCACAGCAAUUGGUGGUACCUGUCAAAGAAGCAACAGUAAAACACUGAGCAGCCGUGUUUCCACUCCCAUCACAGCAGUGACAGUGACUGUGGGCUCUGCAGAGUGUUGUCCCUCCAGCAAGGCCAGAAGAAGACACUUCCUCCUGUGUUACUCCCCAUUCUGCUCACACUCAGGCUUGGCAUCUUGAACAAAGUAACUUUUGUAUAAAAUAUUUGCUGUAGAACCAAUACCAGUCUGGAAGGAAAUACCACUUCUUUAUCUUAUCACAGACUUCUCAUCUACACUUAAAUACUACAGUUUGCAUAAUGACUGUGCUCAGAUUGGGAUAUACAAAAUUACAUGUUGCUGAAUAUUACUGUCUCUGUCCAGCUCUGUAGUUCACAUGCAUGCAUGCGCAAACACGGCUAGCUUCAGUAGGAAGUCAGUGACAAAGAGAUGGGAAGGGUCUUUGCGUGUGUUCCAACAGGACCAUUUAUUGCUUCCACACUGUCGAAGGUCACACAGGCAAAGGUGAAAACAAUACGGAAUUCAGGGGUUUUAUCCGGGGGCGGAAAAAAGGCGGGACUAGGGAACGGGAGCAAUGGGGAAGCUCUGGGGGAGUGACAAGGGGUAGAGGCUGACAGCCAGCCGGGGGAGACAAACGGGAGCGUAUUGACAUAGCAGAAGAAGCGUCCUGGGAGAAGCCUCUUUCUCUCACCAUGACUGCUAAGUCUCUGGCACCAGAGACUGUCUUACCAAGAGCUCUCUCUGUCCCUUGUGCCACAGGCCAAUCGGCCGUCACAGCUGAGUAUGUCCAGCUUGCAGCUUCAACGAGAUUUGGAGACACUCAACACCUCUAGCAGUGUUUAUCGGAAGUUGGCACAUACGGUCCAGGAUGCCAUAAAAAUAUGCUUUAGCUUUUGAUCAACACUGAAUGGUCAGACAGUUGGAUGAGAUUAUCACUGAAUUAUUUUAUUCUAAAUUUUGGGUACCUAUCCAUAUACUCUUAAAGGUGCAUAAGGAGGAGGCAUAUGAGUCUGUCUAUUUGUUCUAUUUGCUAGAGCAUGUACUUUUGAUAAAACCAGAAGUACUUAAAAAAAAUUAUAAUUUACAAAGUUGAAAUACAUGGUUUGAUCUGCUCUCCCCGACAAUUUGCUUCCUGUUGUACUCUUCACACAGUUGUAAUGUUGCCCUUUGCUCAUCAAUUCCAAAAAAAGGCAUAUAAAGUCAUUUAGAACUGGGCUGUGCACCUGUACCCAAAAGGACAGCUCAGUUGUCAAGUAGAUGCUAGUAUGAGUACAACCAUCACAGCUUGAGUCCUGGUUUGUCAGCAAAAUUACAGUGAUUUUGUGGCAUAAUGAUCUUUGCUUGAAUAAUACCUAUUUGUCAUAAACAAAAGUAGAAAAAUAUUUAUUUGCUGAAGCAUCUCAAAUUUAAAUGAAUUGAAGCCUCCUUUUUUAAAAGUUAUUUUGUCAAAAUAAAUACGCAACAUUCUGAAGUUAUCAACAUUAUUUAUUUCCCACAACCACUUUUUUCCUUUUUACUCAUCUGACAGUACUGUUUCUUUGUUUUAAUAUUUUGGAUUGUUCUAGAUAAGAUAUUACUUUAGAUUUUUUUUUUCUAACGAUCCCUUUUCCUCCUUAAUUAGAAUAUUAAAAUUACCAAAACUUUUACAGGUUAGAGAAACUGUAUAAGUAGCAGUCAGAAUCACUGGAAGGUAGCUUGGGGAAUCAGAAAGGAAUACUCCUGCUGACAGUCAUCUGUGAAACUUUCAUUAACGAUGUUCAUUGUUCUGUCUACAUUACAUCAGUGUCAUGAAAGUAUCUUUAAUGCUUUAUAGAUAUAAGGAAAAUUCCACUACAUGCAAUAUCCACUGACAUGGAGCACAUCACUUCAGUGUGAUAUAGGAUUAGAAAAGAUAACUACCAGUCUGUUCAGCUGAUAUUCAGAUGUGAAAUAAAGUCAUGUCAUUCUUAAACAGGGUCAAAUUACUUCAGGGUCAAAGUGAAAAACAGUUCACUCUCAUAUGCACUAUGUUUUUAUUAUUGCCUCCUUUAGACAUCUUGUAAAUGAAGGACAGAUACUGCAGUUCUAUUGCUUUCAGAGAAAUAUUUCUAAAAUUUUGUUUUCUGUGUUUAUCUUUAUUUAUUGCAUGGCAUUUGGUUUUGUUGUUGUUUUUUUUUAAAGUUGUAUUACUGAAAUUGUUAAACUGCACUGCUAUGCUAAAACACAAAAAUUAUGGGUAAUAUAGUGAAAAGUCUGAAUGGAAUGUGGCUGAACAGAAUGUAUUCAAGAAUUAAACCAACUUCAUAAUCAGUAUGGAGGUACUUCUUCAGUAGAGAUGCCAAACCUCUCAGAGAACAAAACUCUCAGUGGAUGUGUGCAGUAGGCAGAAGUUACAAGUUAAGAAAAAACUACCAUCUACUCUGUAGUUCUCGAAGGUUUUGUGCGGCACAGGGAAAUGGGCAGACAGGAAUCUUAAUACUUAGAAUGAGUGACUGUUCCCUCCUGUGAGCAAACAGCCAGGCUUGCUAUUAAAAGUUUUGCUUUCUUAGUUAUGUCAGUAAGAAAUUAUUUUAGCAAGAACUUUGAAUUUAAAAACACAAUACUUGUAGCUAAGGCAGCUGUUUAAGCUAAAGCUCAAGGGGAAAAAAAUAUAAAUAUUGUGGGUUUUUUCUUUCCAUCCAGAAUCUUCAGGAAGCUGUCAUAAUUGGCCAAACACAAGUAUACACAUAUAUAUAUAUAUAUGCAUAUAUAUUAAAUAUAUGUAUUUUAUAUACAUAUAUUUAAGUUCUCUUUUUGCCAGUAGCAAAACGUAUCUUGAAGAAAAGAGGUUAUGGACAUACCCAUCUACAGCAGCCAAGGGAUCUACAAGGAUGCCUGGGAUCCACAAAACAAUACUUGUGCACAGUGACUAUCAUCCAGGAUUUCCAAAGUCCAGGCAUUCCUAUCACCAGCUAGAAGACUUUCCAAAUUUCUUUUCUCCUGUCCUCUCUCCCCUAAGCUCUGCAGGCAGGAACGCCCUCUCUUCCCUCCCUCCCUCCUAUCCCUUCCCAUUCGAAAUGUCACUACCCCAUCUGCUGCCCCCAAACUCACUCGUGCUGGCAGGGACUCACAGGCAGAACGAAGGCGCUGAAGUCAUUCAGCAUAAUGUGCUACACAGACCCUUCCAAGGCAAUUGCUAGCAUUUUCCACCAAGAAAAAAAUUGUGCAGAAGGGAUUAAUGCUGCUAUGGUUCUCUUUUGAUGCCUGUAACACAGAUCAGGACACAUCUGCAUCAUUAAAUCCAACUCCUUCUUGCUGCAGGCACCAUGUAGUUUAUUUGUUCCAUAUGAGUGUGUGUGCUUUUUGCCAUCCAAGCUAAGUAGUGACCGAGGGAUUGUUUCCCUGGACACAAGAGAUGCUAUUGUAAUAUCUGAAUUGCAUGGAAGUAUCUUUGUGCGUCUAUCUCAAAUGAUGUAACAAUUUAGCCAGCAAAUGUACAUGUUAUUGUGGUCAGUAGGACUUCUCUCACUUGAAAUUAUGUAUGCUUUAUUGCUUUUAUCAAAUAGAACUGUAAUAACACA